rnacentral:rRNA from 1 species
UGGGGAAUAUUGCAUAAUGGGCGCAAGCCUGAUGCAGCCAUGCCGCGUGUGUGAAGAAGGCCUUCGGGUUGUAAAGCACUUUCAGCGGGGAGGAAGGCGAUAAGGUUAAUAACCUCAUCGAUUGACGUUACCCGCAGAAGAAGCACCGGCUAACUCCGUGCCAGCAGCCGCGGUAAUACGGAGGGUGCAAGCGUUAAUCGGAAUUACUGGGCGUAAAGCGCACGCAGGCGGUCUGUCCAGUCGGAUGUGAAAUCCCCGUGCUCAACCUGGGAACUGCAUUCGAAACUGGCAGGCUAGAGUAUUGUAGAGGGGGGUAGAAUACCAGGUGUAGCAGUGAAAUACGUAGAGAUCUGGAGGAAGACCGGUGGCGAAGGCGGCCCCCUGGACAAAGACUGACGCUCAGGUGCGAAAGCGUGGGGAGCAAACAGG